UACGGAGGGAGCUAGCCGUUGUUCGGAAUUACUGGGCGUAAAGCGCGCGUAGGCGGCUUUGUAAGUUAGAGGUGAAAGCCCGGGCUCAACCCCGGAAUGCCUUUAAGACUGCAUCGCUUGAAUCCGGGAGAGGUGAGUGGAAUUCCGAGUGUAGAGGUGAAAUUCGUAGAUAUUCGGAAGAACACCAGUGGCGAAGGCGGCUCACUGGACCGGCAUUGACGCUGAGGUGCGAAGCGUGGGGAGCAACAGG
rnacentral:rRNA from 1 species